rnacentral:rRNA from 1 species
CGUGUAGGCGGAUAAAUAAGUUUGAAGUGAAAUCCUAUAGCUUAACUAUAGAACUGCUUUGAAAACUGUUAAUCUAGAAUGUGGGAGAGGUAGAUGGAAUUUCUGGUGUAGGGGUAAAAUCCGUAGAGAUCAGAAGGAAUACCGAUUGCGAAGGCGAUCUACUGGAACAAUAUUGACGCUGAGACGCGAAAGCAUGGGGAGCAAACA